rnacentral:rRNA from 1 species
GCUGAACGCUGGCGGCGUGCCUCAUCCAUGCAAGUCGAGCGUACGGACGCGCUGCUUUCUUCUCUGCUGUUAGCGGCGGAUGUGUGAGUCACUCGUGGCUAACCUACCUAUACGACUGGCCCCACUACCGGAAACCCACGCUAACUCCGCAUAACAUUUUGACCCGCAUUGUUCAAAAGUGACUGAUGGUCUUGACGUCCCUCACAGAUGGCUCCGCCCUGCAUUGGCUAGUUGGUAAGGUAACGGCCUACCAAGGCAACGAUCCAUAGCCGACCUGGGAGGGUGAUCGGCCACACUGGAACUGAGAGACGGUCCAGAGUCCUACGGGAGGCAGCAGGAGGGAGUCUUCCGCAGUGGGCGAAAGCCUGACGGAGCAACGCCGCGUGGGUGAUGAAGGUCCUCGGAUCGUAAAACUCUGUUAUUAGGGAAGAACAUAAGUGUAGUGAACGGUAGAGAUCGGGACGGUACCUAAGCAGAAAGCUACGGCUAACUACGUG